GUGCGCGCUCCCGCUGCUGCUGCUCGCGCCCGGCGUGGGGCUGGCCGUGGCCAGGAGGCGCAGAGGCGGCAGGACCCCCAAGGACACGGGGGGGACCCCCAGGCUGAGCCCCCCCGGGCCGGAGCGGCGCCCGCAGAGACCCUCGGCCACCAGGGUGUGACGUCAGCUGCGCACCCAAAUCCGGGCAAUAAAAGGGAAAUUUUGGUGGUUUUGGAAUUUUUUUUUGUGUGUUUAUUUGGGGUUUUGGGGGGUUUUAUGGGGUAUUGGGGAUUUAUUUGGGGGUUUUGGG